rnacentral:rRNA from 1 species
GACGAACGCUGGCGGCGUGCCUAACACAUGCAAGUCGAACGGAGUAAUUUCUUCGGAGAUUACUUAGUGGCGAACGGGUGAGUAACGCGUGAGAAACCUGCCUUUCAGUGGGGGACACCAGUUGGAAACGACUGCUAAUACCGCAUAAUGUUAUUUGGGGGCAUCCCUGAAUAACCAAAGCUUUAUGUGCUGAAAGAUGGUCUCGCGUCAGAUUAGCUAGAUGGCGGGGUAACGGCCCACCAUGGCGACGAUCAGUAGCCGGUCUGAGAGGAUGAACGGCCACAUUGGGACUGAGAGACGGCCCAGACUCCUACGGGAGGCAGCAGUGGGGAAUAUUGGGCAAUGGGGGAAACCCUGACCCAGCAACGCCGCGUGAAGGAAGAAGGCCUUCGGGUUGUAAACUUCUUUUACCAGGGACGAAGAACGUGACGGUACCUGGAGAAAAAGCAACGGCUAGCUACGUGCCAGCAGCCGCCGUAACAC